CCUGCUCUUCUUUUUCAACAUCCAGUAUGUAAGGAAGCCAAAAAAAUGGAACACAUUAAAGGAGAGAAUAUCCCAAUGCACCUUCUUUUAUGGCUGCUGAGUGGCUGAAACUCUGGUGCCUGACUUGUAGAAAAAGCUAGUUCUGCUCAAACAUCCCUUCCCUUCAAAGCCCUGGCGGCAAAGGGACCAGCUCGAAGUUGUGUGAGCAGUUCUGAAGAAGUAAUCGAGGUUGGGAAGAUUUAAGCAGGGACUUAAAGAUCUGCAGUAAAAUCCUAUAAGUUGAACGGAAUCAUAGAGUGGGUGAGGCUGGAAGGGUCCUCUGGAGAUUUUCCAACAACCGCCCAAAACCCUGCUAUUCAAAGCAGGGCUUCCUAGGGCAGGUUGCUCAGGGUGAUGUCCAGUUGGAUUUUGAAUAUCUCCAAGAGUAGAGACUGCAGAACUCCUCUGGGAAACCUAUUCCAGUAUUUGACCACCUUUAUGCUCUGUUUGCAGAUUUAUGAGGCAUUUCACCUUCUGGAAGUCCUGAGGAAAUGGGUAACUGCAAGAUGCAACGGAACUGGAUUUUAGAAUGUCAUUGCAUUUUUGGAUAACUCCUGAGCUUUCAGUGGCUAUCUUGGAUGAAGCUGUCCAAAAUGAUGCGUGGCUGUGGUAAUUUUAACCCUCUUGAGGUAGGAGUAGUUAAAUGUUUCUUCUAACAGGCGUUACCUUGCUC